CAGCCACAUCAUAUUGAAACACCGUUCUCCAUAUGAUCACCAAAGUUUAGCAACAUUGAGCCUGGUCAGUACCAAGAUGGGUGACUGCUUGGAAAUACCAGGUGCUGUAAG
rnacentral:rRNA from 1 species